CCACGGACAGGAAGAUGGACUACAUACGAAUAGUGACAGAACUCUGUCAAUUUCUAGUGCUGGUGCCAGUCAGUGUGUGCUGCAGACCCUGAAUGGACUGGAUAGCUUUGGCAGGAUCGCAGAGCUCAGAACUCAGUCGGUUGCCGGUGCUAAUACUAUCCGUGAUGGUGUCCAGCAUGUGUCUACUUCUGCAAAUGCCAGGCAGCACAUGCCGCAAAGCCUCCCGCCUGUGCCACUCACGCCACGCGUAGUGAUCAGGACAGCUGCCGACGCCGCCGCAAACCGCUUGUCGGGGAGUCGCUCGCCCAGCCCGCUCACGCCACGCGUAGCUGUUGCUGGCGCCAAUGCCGCUGGCCACCGCUCGCCCCACAGCCCUACGCCCCUGCCAACCCCGCCACGUCGGCGGCGAAGACGUGGUGUUCAAAAUUCUAAUUCUCCUGCGCAGAGGAGAACCCGCACUCAGACACAGUCAGAAAUAGCGAGGCAAGCCUUUGUCAGAUCUGACACCGAAUGGCGUGCUUUUCAGCGAGAAACUGAGAUACAUAGGAGGAGGAAUGAGGAACGGUGGA